UGGGGAAUUUUGGACAAUGGGCGAAAGCCUGAUCCAGCCAUUCCGCGUGAGUGAAGAAGGCCUUCGGGUUGUAAAGCUCUUUCGGCAGGGAAGAAACGGUUUAGGCUAAUACCCUGAGCUAAUGACGGUACCUGAAGAAGAAGCACCGGCUAACUACGUGCCAGCAGCCGCGGUAAUACGUAGGGUGCGAGCGUUAAUCGGAAUUACUGGGCGUAAAGCGUGCGCAGGCGGUUUUGUAAGACAGAUGUGAAAUCCCCGGGCUUAACCUGGGAACUGCGUUUGUGACUGCAAGACUUGAGUACGGCAGAGGGGGGUGGAAUUCCACGUGUAGCAGUGAAAUGCGUAGAGAUGUGGAGGAACACCGAUGGCGAAGGCAGCCCCCUGGGUCGAUACUGACGCUCAUGCACGAAAGCGUGGGGAGCAAACAGG
rnacentral:rRNA from 1 species